CUACCAUCUAGCGAAACCACAGCUAAGGGAACGGGCUUAGCAUAAUCAGCGGGGGAAAGAAGACCCUGUUGAGCUUGACUCUAGUCAGACUUUGAGAAAUGACAUGAAGAAUAUAGCAUAGGUGGGAGAUUACUUAAAAUGAUCGACUUUGAAAUACCACUGUCUUUAUAGUUGUUUUUCUUAUUUAAUUGGGUAGAAACAGGGCCAAAAAGCCCUUUUUUCUUGAGUUAAUUGGAAUGAUACGCUUGGGGGGGUAUUAUUGUUUGGUCUCUGAAAGGGGAUCAAGUGGUAGUAUCUUUUAUCCCCAGGCCUCUGCAUCCGAGAUCUAGGUUAAAGACAUUGUCUGGUGGGGAGUUUGGCUGGGGCGGCACAUCUGUUAAAAGCUAACACAGGUGUCCUAAGAGGAGCUCAAUGAGAACAGAAAUCUCAUGUAGAACAUAAGGGUAAAAGACUCUUUUGAUUUUGUAUUUUCAGUACUAAUACAAACCCUGAAAGGU
rnacentral:rRNA from 1 species